AACGAACGCUGGCGGCAGGCCUAACACAUGCAAGUCGAGCGCCCUGUCGGUGCAGCUGCGGCCGGCUGAGUAACCCGUGGGAAGAUGCCCUUCUCUACAGACUAGCCUCGGGAUACUGAGAGUAAUACCGUACACGCCCUGAGGGGGGAAGGUUGAUCGGGGAAGGAUUAGCCCGCGUUGGAUUAGGUGGUUGGUGGGGUAAUGGCCUACCAAGCCGACGAGCCAUAGCUGGUUUGAGAGGAGGAUCAGCCACACUGGGACUGAGACACGGCCCAGACUCCGACGGGAGGGAGCAGUGGGGAAUCUUAGACAAGGGGGGCAACCCUGAUCAAGCCAUGUGGGGGAAGUGAUGAAGGCCGUAGUAUUGUAAAGCUCUUUCAGCUGGGAAGAUAAUGACGGUAACAGGAGAAGAAGCCCCGGCUAACUCCGUG
rnacentral:rRNA from 1 species